GACGAACGCUGGCGGCGUGCCUAAUACAUGCAAGUAGAACGCUGAAGGAGGAUCUUGCUCUUCUGGAUGAGUUGCGAACGGGUGAGUAACGCGUAGGUAACCUGCCUGGUAGCGGGGGAUAACUAUUGGAAACGAUAGCUAAUACCGCAUAAGAGUAGAUGUUGCAUGACAUUUGCUUAAAAGGUGCAAUUGCAUCACUACCAGAUGGACCUGCGUUGUAUUAGCUAGUUGGUGGGGUAACGGCUCACCAAGGCGACGAUACAUAGCCGACCUGAGAGGGUGAUCGGCCACAAUGGGACUGAGACACGGCCCAGACUCCUACGGGAGGCAGCAGUAGGGAAUCUUCGGCAAUGGACGGAAGUCUGACCGAGCAACGCCGCGUGAGUGAAGAAGGGUUUCGGAUCGUAAAGCUCUGUUGUAAGAGAAGAACGAGUGUGAGAGUGGAAAGUUCACACUGUGACGGUAUCUGAACAGAAAGGGACGGCUAACUACGUG
rnacentral:rRNA from 1 species